UCUUCGCACUCUGGAGAGCGGCACGGCUUCGACAUCGACAACACGUCGGCCAGUGCCCACCGAAGGGGCGCGCGAGGGAUUCUGCACGCAGAAUCCGCGCAAUCUCUCAGGUACCGAGGACAGAGGGGUCAUG
rnacentral:ncRNA from 2 species